UGAUUGAUUUAUUUAACAACUUUCAGCUGGAUCAGAAGAACAACGUAUGUUGCAAUUGUGGCGAAAGCCUGAAAAAUAAAAAACAGGUACUCACUUGUUUAAGAAUACAGUGGUAGAGGAGAGCAAUUAUAACUAAGGAACCUAAACGGAAUAUAGUCCAAUGUAAGAUCGCAAAAACUUGUGCAGCAACUCUCCAGCUAAAGUGAACUCUCAUGAGGAAUGUGUAGUAAAACUGAAUCACUGCCGAUGAAACUGCAUGUGUGAAGAGCAGCAACGUGGGUAUUCCGAAGAUGUCGUUGAUGUCGAGGCAUACUGAACAAAGCUUAUUGUGAAUGGCGUGAAUCGUUUCAAUAGAUUCUACAUGUUUUUCAACUGAAACAAAAAAAAAAAAUAAGACGUAGAUUUGCAAAGCUGGUAUUCACCGGCGCAGCGUUGUUCUUGAGGAUUUCAGUAUUGUAGUAAAGAGAUUCUAAUGAGUUAUGGGUUCGUAUUACUGAGGUCAAUUUCUCAACUUAUCGAGGACAUUAUAAUGCCACGAAGCUAUACUAUAUUCGUUGCUGAACUGAACUACUGGAUUGAGAUUGAUGUGAAAGUUAUGACGACAACGCCGGAGAGACUAAUGCCCGUAUUCGCCGUAGAGCGAAGCUUAAGGGGUAAGCUCGCUUAACGCUUCAGUUUUGUAUGCAUCGUAUCAACAAAUGCCUUUAAGUUCGCUUAAAUGUAAGCGGACAAAUUCGGUAGCUUUAUACGUGAAGGCAAGCUUAUGUAUACAUCAUAACCUCACUUAUUAUUCUUUAGUUUUGGAAAUAAUGCAAGUGUUUUGCUGGAAUGUUUCAGUAAACGGACUUGUGAAAUUAAAAUCAGUUGUUGCAGAAUGAUGGAACUAGAAGAUGAAAUCAUGCUGGAAGUCGAUAACGGCAUCUUACAUGUCAUUGAUUUUGGUUUUCCACGAAGAAUUUUUAGAAGGCCCAACUAUUUCGAGGAGAUGGAUGAUGCUAACAACACUAUUUGUGCUGGAGCUCAUAGAAAAUGCUUUAGAAUUCGAAAACGAUUUGUAAAAAAUACAUUCAAUUGUU